UCACACAUGGUGUGACGAGCGUCACACCAUUCCACUACCUUUUUGGCGCAAGUAACGCCCUCAGAAGACUUGAAGAGACGUUGAGGAGUUUGUUGUCCUAUAUCCACGCCGUGCAUUUAGCCACGUUGAAGACCUUGGAAACGAAAAGCAGUUACAGCACCAAUAUAAAUAGCUACUUCAAAAACCUAAAAGGGUUCCUCGGUUUUUCCACGCUCACAUUGCC
rnacentral:lncRNA from 1 species